rnacentral:rRNA from 1 species
UACGAAGGGGGCUAGCGUUGUUCGGAAUUACUGGGCGUAAAGCGAACGUAGGCGGUGUUCCAUGUCAGAGGUGAAAGCCUGGGGCUCAACUCCAGAAUUGCCUUUGAAACGGGGACGCUUGAGUCCGAGAGAGGAUGGCGGAAUUCCUAGUGUAGAGGUGAAAUUCGUAGAUAUUCGCAAGAACACCAGUGGCGAAGGCGGCUGACUGGUCCGGUUCUGACGCUGAGGCGCGAAAGCGUGGGGAGCGAACGGG